rnacentral:rRNA from 1 species
GACGAACGCUGGCGGCGUGCCUAAUACAUGCAAGUCGAACGAACCGCGACUAGGUGCUUGCACUUGGUCAAGGUGAGUGGCGAACGGGUGAGUAACACGUGGGUAACCUACCUCAUAGUGGGGGAUAACAGUCGGAAACGACUGCUAAUACCGCAUAGGACAUAGGAUCACAUGAUCCAGUGAGGAAAGGUGGCGCAAGCUAUCGCUAAGAGAUGGACCCGCGGUGCAUUAGCUAGUUGGUAGGGUAAAGGCCUACCAAGGCGAUGAUGCAUAGCCGACCUGAGAGGGUGAUCGGCCACAUUGGGACUGAGACACGGCCCAAACUCCUACGGGAGGCAGCAGUAGGGAAUCUUCCGCAAUGGACGCAAGUCUGACGGAGCAACGCCGCGUGAGUGAAGAAGGUCUUCGGAUCGUAAAGCUCUGUUGUUAGAGAAGAACAGCGCAUAGAGUAACUGUUAUGCGUGCGACGGUAGCUAACCAGAAAGCCACGGCUAACUACGUG